rnacentral:rRNA from 1 species
UACGAAGGGGGCUAGCGUUGCUCGGAAUCACUGGGCGUAAAGGGCGCGUAGGCGGAUCUUUUAAGUCGGGGGUGAAAGCUCAGGGCUCAACCCUGGAAUGGCCUUCGAUACUGGAGAUCUUGAGACCGGAAGAGGUGAGUGGAAUUCCUGGUGUAGCGGUGAAAUGCGCAGAUAUCAGGAAGAACACCAAUGGCGAAAGCAGCUCUCUGGGACGGUACUGACGCUGAGACGCGAAAGCGUGGGGAGCGAACAGG